AGAUAUGCAGACAUCCUCUCCUCCUCCCAAGGGCGUUUGCGGGAACAGCAACAUUCCUCCUCCCAGUUGCUGUUCGGUUAUUUUUAAAAAAAGCCUGCCGCACCUCCUCCCGCGACAGGCUUUUUCG
rnacentral:sRNA from 1 species